AAGGGAGACCUAAUUCGGGUAGAAGACGAAAAAAUAGUAGUCGAAACCAAGAAUCAAUCCCAAAAGGUCGGAACGAGGUAUGUGGCUUUCAAACUAGGUUCUGGGUUCACAAAAGACCUGAAUCAGGAACAAGGGCUAUUAGCUCAGGUGGUUAGAGCGCACCCCUGAUAAGGGUGAGGUCCCUGGUUCGAGUCCAGGAUGGCCCACCUGCACAGGUGGCAAAAACAAGAGAAACGAGGAAUCAGCACCUUAUCUUACUUACAUAGUAAGAGAGAAUGCUGGCUCUGAGUAAAGAGUCCAGAGGAACCCUGAAAACUGCAUAGAGCUAGGUGAAAAAGCCAAAAAAGAAGACCGCAA
rnacentral:tRNA from 1 species